ACAUGGGUUUACAUCCAGAAACAAGUAAAGAUUUGGACUUCCUGGCAGACAUUAACUUCGACGAUUUUGAGCAUGAAGAAACAGUACACACAGUUGAGGAUGUUAGAAGACAAAGACUUCUCUUGUUUGACAGCCAAGAGAAUAACGAGCAACAAGAGUUCUGAGACGCUCACUUCACUACUGACCAUUCUAAAAAGCAAGAUAGAUUUGGGAGCAAAACGGAACAUUGUAAAG